rnacentral:rRNA from 1 species
GUGUCAGCAGCCGCGGUAACACGUAAGGGGCGAGCGUUGUUCGGAUUUAUUGGGCGUAAAGGGCGCGUAGGCGGUAAGAUAAGUCUGGUGUUAAAUGCCCCGGCUCAACCGGGGAAGUGCGCUGGAAACUGUAUUACUGGAGUGGUGGAGGGGGAGCUGGAAUUCCUGGUGUAGGGGUGAAAUCUGUAGAUAUCAGGAAGAACACCGGAGGCGAAGGCGAGCUCCUGGCCAUCUACUGACGCUGAGGCGCGAAAGCGUGGGGAGCAAACAGGAUUAGAUACCCUGGUAGUCCACGCUGUAAACGAUGUGCACUGGGUGUUAGUCCGUUGAGGAUUAGUGCCGUAGCUAACGCGUUAAGUGCACCGCCUGGGGAGUAUGCUCGCAAGGGUGAAACUCAAAUGAAUUGGCGGGG